rnacentral:rRNA from 1 species
CUCACCAGGUCAGGACACGGUAAGGAUUGACGGACUGAAGGCUCUUUCUCGAUUCCGUGGAAAGUGGUGCAUGGUCCGUUUUUGGUUGGUGGAUCGAUCCGUCUGGUUAAUUCCGUUAACGAACGAGACCUCGGCACUCCGAAUAGCGCGGCGGACGUCGCGGCCUCCGGGCCGUCUUCCGCACGAGCUUCUUAGAGGGACCGUCCCCCGCCGGGGAAGGAGGUGCGAGGCAACGACAGGUCUGUGAUGCCCUUAGAUGUUCUGGGCCGCACGCGCAUUACACUGACGCGUCCAACGGGUGACUCCCGACCCGAAGGGGCCGGGGAAUCCGCAAGGCGCGUCGUGAUGGGGAUUGAACGUUGCAAUUGUUGUUCACGAACGAGGAAUUCCUAGUAGGCGCGGGUCAUCAACCCGCGCCGAUUACGUCCCUGCCCUUUGUACACAC